GCAAACUUGGUCAUUUAGAGGAAGUAAAAGUCGUAACAAGGUUUCCGUAGGUGAGUACCACUCCCGGCCACAUGCCGGGUCUCCCUUCCGCUCCGAGGUGGAAACGUGCUAACAAGACCAUAGGUGAACCUGCGGAAGGAUCAUUACCGAGUACCAGCACCCCUAGGUGCCUACUCCCACCACUUGUGAACCUUUAACCGUUGCUUUGGCGGGCCGCGGCCACGCGCCGCCCCUAGCGCUGCCUGGGAGCGCCCGCCAGAGGCGUCAUAAAACCGUCUCACGGUGACAUCUGAGUGCCUUCUUAAAAGUCAAAACUUUCAACAACGGAUCUCUUGGUUCUGGCAUCGAUGAAGAACGCAGC
rnacentral:misc_RNA from 1 species